AUAAUUGCGCGUGCACGCCAUUGUUUAAAAGUCCUGAAAAGUCGAGCAUGGGUCAAUCGAUUUACUGUGGGCUACCAUGGCAACAAAAGGAAAAGAUAGAGCAGCGAUGUUCACGGCAACGGAACAGCGUUUGCUAUUGGAAACAUAUGAAGAAUUUAAAGAUGUCAUCACCAAAAAAGGCAAUACAGUGGCAAUAAAUAAAGCAAGAGAGAAAGGUUGGCUGGAAAUUGCUGAUCGUCUCAAUGCGUAAGUAGCGGUGUAAACUAUUUAAAAUACUUUAUCAACAUUGAAUGUGUGUCACAAUACAUUGCAAAGUUUGUGUGUGAAUAACAGUAAUGUUAAUUGCUUUCACGCAGCAGCAACUUAAGUGAAGGAAAAAGAACCUGGCAGCAGGUGAAAAUAAAAUAUAAAAAUAUAGUUCAGAAUGCGACCAAAAAGAAGACUGAGGUUGCUGGCACUGGGGGAGGGCCACCACCAGCCAGCUUCACUCCUGCAGAGGAGCUGGCUUUGGAAAUUAAUAAAGGGAGGCCUGUCCUUGAGGGAAUAGAGGGGGGGACAUCAUCUAAAAUGAUAUCACGUAGUAUAAGGAGUGAGUAUAUAAAAGAUUCUGUAUGCUUUAUGGAUCCACCAGACAUCAUGUUGCCUGUGAGUAUGAGACCUUUUAAAUCAGUCAUGUAAGCUAAUGAGUUUAACUGAGUUUAAUCAGUGGUCACAGGGAGAAGGCCCAUCAGUUGAGGAGGAUGAGGAGACUGUGUCUGAAUGUUCAAGGAGG